GUUUCUGGGAGAAAUGAUGACGCUUUGCAGUGGCCGUGUCACUGGAGACAGGUGACCUUCACGCUGCUGGACCAGAAUCCUCACAUCCAGAGGCGCAUGUCCAAACAAAGAAGUGUGACCUCAACUUCAUUAUGGCUCAAUAGCGAAAUCGGCCGUCCAAGUUUAUAUGGCACUCUUCUGUCAUCUGGCAUGUAUGCUAAUGCACUGUGGGACGGUGGUUUGAGUAUGUCAGCCACUGAGCUGAGAUCCAGAGAGUUCCUCAAGGGAGGUGAUGCCUUUCUCCACAUAUCUAUGCAGGACAUUUCUCCUCUGCGUCACCAGAGCGACCUCCCUUGUCCCAGCAUGAAAGGGAAGACCUUCUCUGUGUCUCCUCUGCAGCAAACUGAUGAUGAUGGACCCUGUG
ensembl:lncRNA